rnacentral:rRNA from 1 species
GAGUUUGAUCAUGGCUCAGGAUGAACGCUAGCGGCAGGCUUAAUACAUGCAAGUCGUGGGGCAGCAUGAGUGUAGCAAUACAUUUGAUGGCGACCGGCAAACGGGUGCGGAACACGUACACAACCUUCCUUUAAGUGGGGGAUAGCCCAGGGAAACUUGGAUUAAUACCCCGUAAUAUAUAGAAGUGGCAUCGCUUUUAUAUUAUAGCAGCAAUGCGCUUGAAGAUGGGUGUGCGGCUGAUUAGAUAGUUGGCGGGGUAACGGCCCACCAAGUCGACGAUCAGUAACUGGUGUGAGAGCACGACCAGUCACACGGGCACUGAGACACGGGCCCGACUCCUACGGGAGGCAGCAGUAAGGAAUAUUGGUCAAUGGACGCAAGUCUGAACCAGCCAUGCCGCGUGGAGGAUGAAGGUCCUCUGGAUUGUAAACUUCUUUUAUCUGGGAGAAAUCCACUUUUUCUAAGGUGGUUGACGGUAUCAGAUGAAUAAGCACCGGCUAAC